ensembl:lncRNA
CGCAGUUUAAAAGUUUACUAGAGCGCUUGUGCAUGCUCAUAAGCAAAACAGCGUCCUUGUGUCUAGUUGUUUAUCUCGGUGACUGAGACUUUAUAUUGCGUCGAGUUGGAGCAAAUAACCGAAGAAGCUGGAAACAGGACACUGGCACAAAGCCUGUCUAUCUGUUUGUGUGAAGAAAGGGGAAGAAGAAAAGUGACUCUUUGUCAAAAAGAAACUGGAACCAAUUACGCCCAAUGCUAAGCGUGUCCACUGCGGAUAUUGCUGGCGUAUCCACGCUUGUAUAUACAACCCCUCAACCUCAGCCUUUCUCAAGGUCCAGUCCCACAUGGCAGCCCACACUGUUUUGUCAGCUCAUUCUGCAUCC